CCUACGGGUGACAGCAGUGGGGAAUAUUGGACAAUGGGGGGAACCCUGAUCCAGCGACGCCGCGUGAGUGAAGAAGUAUUUCGGUAUGUAAAGCUCUAUCAGCAGGGAAGAAAAUGACGGUACCUGACUAAGAAGCCCCGGCUAACUACGUGCCAGCAGCCGCGGUAAUACGUAGGGGGCAAGCGUUAUCCGGAUUUACUGGGUGUAAAGGGGGCGUAGACGGGGCAGCAAGUCUGAUGUGAAAGGUCGGGGCCCAACCCCGGGACUGCAUUGGAAACUGUUGAACUGGAGUACAGGAGAGGUAUGCGGAAUGCGUGGUGUAGCGGUGAAAGGCGUAGAGAGUAGGAGGAACACCAGUGGCGAAGGCGGCGUACUGGACCGUAACUGACGUUGAGGCUCGAAAGCGUGGGGAGCAAACAGGAUUAGAUACCCUGGUAGUC
rnacentral:rRNA from 1 species